rnacentral:rRNA from 1 species
GAUGAACGCUGGCGGCGUGCCUAAUACAUGCAAGUCGAGCGAACAGAUGCGGAGCUUGCUCCUCUGACGUUAGCGGCGGACGGGUGAGUAACACGUGGAUAACCUACCUAUAAGUCUGGGAUCACUUCGGGACACCGGAGCUAACACCGGAUAAUAUCUUGCACCGCAUGGUUCAAUAGUGAAAGACGGCUUUGCUGUCACUUAUCGAUGGAUCCGCGCUGCAUUAGCUAGUUGGUAAGGUAACGGCUUACCACGGCAACGAUGCGUAGCCGACCUGAGGGGGGGAUCGGCCACACUGGAGCUGAGACACGGUCCAGAGUCCUACGUGAGGCAGCAGUAGGGAAGCGUCCGCAAUGUGCGAAAGCCUGACGAAGCAACGCAGCGUGAGUGAUGAAGGGCUGCGGAUCGUAAAACGCUGUUAUUAGUGAAGAACAAAUGUGUAUGUGACGAUGCACGUCUGGACGGUACCGAAGCAGAAAGCCACGGCAAACUACUG